rnacentral:rRNA from 1 species
AAGGCUUGACAUGUACGAGAACGCGUUAGAGAUAACGAACUCUUUGGACACUCGUACACAGGUGGUGCAUGGUUGUCGUCAGCUCGUGUCGUGAGAUGUUGGGUUAAGUCCCGCAACGAGCGCAACCCCUAUCCUAUGUUGCCAGCGGGUUAUGCCGGGGACUCAUGGGAGACUGCCGGGGUCAACUCGGAGGAAGGUGGGGAUGACGUCAAAUCAUCAUGCCCCUUAUGUCUUGGGCUUCACGCAUGCUACAAUGGCCGGUACAGAGGGCUGCGAUACCGUGAGGUGGAGCGAAUCCCAAAAAGCCGGUCUCAGUUCGGAUCGGGGUCUGCAACUCGACCCCAUGAAGUCGGAGUCGCUAGUAAUCGCAGAUCAGCAACGCUGCGGUGAAUACGUUCCCGGGCC